AUUUUUUUCUCUCCCGUUGCAAUACACGAGCCUUUUUGCUUAUAAUAUUAAAAGACGGAGGCUUUCAUAGUUCUCCAUAUGUCAUCCAUUUAUAUCCGUUGGUUGUGUGUUAACAAAAAAAUUGACGGCCGAGAUUUUUAUCGGAUGUCCCCGAAGGGACGACGGCCGAGAUUUAAAGUAUGUUAUAUGGUUGUACGUCGCCGUCUAUUUUACAGAGAAAACCCCUCUCAAUUUAUGUAUUCAACCCGCAGUUCUCAGCUUAAGUCAACCGAACCGGUAUGGGCCAGAGUAAAGAAAAGAAAAAUCUGCCUCCCGAUCUGGCCUGUACGCCGCCGCCCCGUACUCUGCUCCUCCCCGAGCCCCCUCGCUCGAUCCCGACCAGCAGGUCCCGAGCGCCUAGGCCUGCUCCUCACGCCGGCAUCCCGCGCCACCGCCGCCGACCUCGAGCCGUCGUCCAGAACAACAGCGCCAUGUAUCCCGAUGUGGAGCUCCACUACGUCCCGAUCUGACCUGGGAGCGACCAGAUUCGUGCGUCUCCGCCUCGCUCCGCGCGGCUGCACAGUCCGCCGUCUUGCCGAGCGCCGGCGCCGCGCGCCGCGCUCAGCCGCCGCCGUCCCCUGCCAUGGCCGCCUCCCUCCUCCAGAACGACGUGCCAUGGCCGCCUCCUUGCCUCUCGCCCGGCUCAGCAGAUUAAUGGACGGCGCUGCCGACGGCGGUUCAUGCCUCGGUGCUCCUCACCGGCGGAAUUUGCCAGCUAUUCUAUUCUUAUCACGAUCUUCUCUGUUUUGAUGUACUAGGAUUUACUCCCAGCACCCGUACAUGAGCCCCAAGGCACCACGUGAUUCUGAUGAUACACCAACAUUGGGCCGGUCCUACAUUGCUGACCUGCUCCAUUCUAUCUGGCAGCUCCAUCGGGAAAGCACCAAGGUAAAAAACCACCACUGGUUUCCUCCUCUCCCCUCUAAAGAUAUGUAUUUUUCUUGCUUUUAUUAUGCGACUGAAAUCUAAGUAUUGUGCUUUUCUUGCAUUUAUGACGCGAUUCAGGUCUAUGAACUUGCCUGACACCGUUGUGGACUAUGUUGGUGUUUGUUCGGAUGCGUGCCUAGGUUCAUUGCCUGUUUUGUGUAGUUCCAUCUUGGCUGCAGGGGCAGCUGCACCGAGCAAAGUGGCCUAUGGUGAUAGGAUAAUCAUGACUUAGAGUCUGUCUCAAGUCUGUUGGUUAGCCAGUGCGUUGUUGACGCGGCCGUAGCCGGUGUGUGUAUCGCGUGCAUGACUGUAGGGAUCAGUUGGGCUGUAGCAUGUGCACGCAGGUUAGUCGGGCGUGCAUGCAUCUGUUGGUUGCAGAGGACUCGGGCGUGCAUGCAUCCGUUGGCGCGUCGUGGGCGCGGCCGUGCCAAGCGGAUCGCGCGCGCAACGGAGUGGCAGGCAGCUCGGCGCCGUGAUGAGGGUAUAAAUCCACCCCCCCCCCCCAUGUACUGAUAGCGUGUGGGGGUAUGUGCCCGGUUAAGAAAAAAAAGAAAGGCCGUUCGUCGCCUGAAAAUCUAUGUCUAGCACUUCUUCUUCCACCUCCGUCCGAGCGAGAGCAAGAGAGAGAGCUAGCUACCUUCGAGGCAAGAGUUUGGCCCCAACAUAUGGCCUGCAAUGCUAGGAAAAGCAAAGUCAUAGUCUCAGUAUGGAGCAAAUAUGAGUUCGGUUGCUCUAUUACUAUUAGGGAAGCACAACAUGCUUUAUUAUUAGGGAAAGAUUUCACUUCAAUUUUGUUGUUCGUGACUGAUGGCCGCAUCGCUCCCACCACGGCAGCGGCAACGGCAAUCUUCCCCUCUACAGUCGCGCCGUACCGCUCCGACGCCAUCCGACACAACCAUUGCGUGGUGGAGGGCCACCUCGAGUACAUCGGGGAAGCGGCGAGCGCGGGCGCUGCCGCAUGUUCUGCUGAGUCGUCCAUUUCAGUUUCUAGGUGUGUGUGCGCGUGCUGUCUGGUGCUUGUGUUUUAUGGUGUCCGUGAGCACAACCACAACAUGUUCCAGGUAUUAACUGAGAGAGUGUGCUCCUGUUGCGUUCUGCUUGCAGACCCUGUGGCCGAUGAGGCGUACCUGCGUGUUUUUUUUAUGGUCGACAACGAGAUACUACACUGAUCUGAAUAUUUACAUGGUUAAUGUGAGAUCAAUAUCAAAGAUCUGCGUAUGGGUAAUGGUUGAAAAGUUAAUCUAAUUAGAGAAAACUGAAUGCGUCUAUCAGUUCUUUAAUACAUAUAUAGUAUGUACCUUUCUGAAACUGAUAUUUGAUAUAUUUCUGUAUCAGAUCAGAUCCAAACUCCAAGUAUUCGUGGAUAUAGGGAAUAGUUAUGGUACAAAUAGACUUGAUUGUACUGAUAAUUUUCAGCUUGGACAUGGAUCUCUUAUGGUACAAAUCACGUGACCCUUUUAGUUGUCCUUACUCCCGUAUGCAAUCAAGCUUGAUGAUAAAUUCUUGGAGAGACACAAGGUGCCAGGUAAGGUGACCCAAGACUAUUGCUUUCAGUUAUUCAAUGGUGUUCAUAUGGUACAUUGCUAUGUGCCAUUGCCUGCAGCGGCAAGCUUGAAUUGGGAAGAUGGAUGGGGGGAGAAAAAGAGUGAUUUAACAUAAUUUUGAUUACCGAUGCCUGCAUGGUUGCCGUGCAUGAGCAGCUGCUCACCAUGCGCAUGGGAGAGGAGGUCUUGCGUGAAGGCUACUCAGAGAGCACUGGAUGCAUGUCCGUGUCCGCGCACUUGGAGCAGCAGCCAAUGGAUGGUCGGCCAGAGGAGAAGAGACCUGAGAUUGAUUAGUUUAGAUUUUCUCUGUUUGCCUUGCAAUUUUCUACCAAUUUAUUGGCUUGACCUGAGAUUGAUUAGUUGCUAGCAUGUAAUGUUCACCUUCUUCUUAGUUUACAUACAGUUGGAGACUGGUUUCUUUUUCCUCUUUUUGUGCAGUGUGCCUUCGUGUCUUCUUAUUUUGGCCUCAGAUAUAUGUACAAUAAAGCAACUAUAUGUUACUGAAGAACUUUAUGCAGUCGUUGAUUCA